AGUAGGUGGCUCAGCCACGCUGGGCGCAGUAGGCUGCCCCGCCCCGCGCCACCGCGCCCCACGCCCGAAUGAGAAAACUGAGGCUCUGAGAGAGGAAGUGACUUACCUACGGUCACGCAGGUCAGUCUGUAGGAGGAACAAGGACAAGCCUGGGAUAAAGGCCGGUGGGCGUCCAGUAGCCAGGAGGGAUCAGCCAAAAGGGGGCAGUACCUGGACAGUGACGAGGGAUGGAUCCCCGCCUGUCCAGCCGUCAGGGUAACUGGUUACCUGGCAGUUAUACACGGAAUGCACCAGACAUCCAAGCAGACGCCCGGCCAAAGGGAGGCAGAACUCCACACGAUGGCUGGGGAACAGUAUCAUGCAGGAGCCCAAGCACAGACCACCUUUCUAGGCUUGAGAGACAGUCUGGGCGGCUGGACUGGACUCUGCAAUAGCAGUGAGGUCGGGAGGCGACCGGGGCGUCAUGCAGAGUCUCGCAGGCCAGGCAGCCAGGGCCCAGUAUUUGAGGUUAUGCGCUGAGACGAGGGCAUGGUGAUCUCUGACUGAUAUGUUUGAAAACAGCCUCUGUACACACGAAAGAAUUAACAGUAGGGUCUCCAAGAGACGUGUGCACACUCGUGUUCAGAGCAGCAUUAUUCACGGUAGCCAAGAGGCAGAAGCCAGCCAGUGUGCGUGAGCAGAGGAACGGGUUAGUAUAUAUGCUGUGUCCAGACAGUGGGUUCAGGCUUAAAAAGGAAGGAAAGGGGCGCCUGGGUGGCUCGGUCGGUUAAGCGUCCGACUUCGGCUCAGGGCAUGAUCUCAUGGUCCGUGAGUUUGAGCCCCACGUCGGGCUGUGUGCUGACAGCUCAGAGCCUGGAGCCUGUUUCAGAUUCUGUGUCUCCCUCUCUCUCUGCCCCUCCCCUGUUCAUGCUCUGUCUC